AUGGUUGUAAUUCCGGCAAUCUGGAGGCGUUCUGGACGCGGGUUCGAUUCCCGCCACCUCCACCA
rnacentral:tmRNA from 1 species